CGGAGCGCGAUCCGGAGCCCCGCCGCGCCGGGUGGCCCCAGGAGGUGGCGGCAGGGCCGAACCCCGGAAUUCCAGAGGCGACCGCAAGGACACAGCCCGCGGAGGAAGGUCCCGCAGGCCGAAGACGUGCAGAUGACUCGGUUGUGAGUCAAGCCAUAAUGUCCCUUACUGAAGAAUAUGAGCUUUGAAUUCAGACCUGAGCUUGAACUUCAGCUCCAACAUUUAUCAGUCAUCCGCCCUCAGGAAAUGUGCUUUACCCCUGCAUCUGUUUCCUCAUGGGGAAAAAUAUUUACCUUUUGGGGAUUGUUGUAAAGGUGAUUAGAUAAAAGAGCUUAGUCACAUGGCAUCUGGAAUGCCACGUACCAAAAUCAAGAUCCCUAAAGGAUGUAAAACUGAGAUUAUCAGCCAACAAGGACCUACUGGAGAAAGCAGAGGAUGGAAGCUAAAUUGAAGCAGUGUUUUAUCGUAUGUACUUCAGCAGAUCUUCUGCAGUUCAGCUAAAACCAUGACUGCUCUUUCUUCAGAGAACUGCUCUUUUCAAUACCAGUUACAUCAAGCAAAUCAGCCUCUAGAUGGAAAUGGCUCCAAUCCCUCCUGAAUCACAAAGCCUUCAAUAACAUGGGUUAAGAUCUGUGGUUUAACAAUAGCCUGUGGAGGUUUGUUUUCUAUACUGGGAAUGCUGCUGGGCACCGAUGUACUAUUACUCCUUGUGGUAGCAGCUGGAAGUAAGAGUGGAGGUGGAGGAACAGAAACAUGUGAAGGAUCUGACGGAGAUUUAAUUACUGAAGCACUGACUGAUGCCACAGCAGCAUGUUUGUCAGACACUGACAGAUGGAAAUUUCAAGCUUUUUAAAUUCAAAGGCAUUUAGAUCUAGCAAUAUAACAUAACGUGGGAGAAAAUAGUUUUUACUCUCAGUUCAGCAAGAAAGUCAAAGAGCUUCCAAGGGCUUACCACUGGUGGAUCAACAGGUGCUGGUGGUUGUACUUGUAGGUUUACCGCAACAGUCUGUGGAGGAGGAAGAGUCUGAAAUGGCAACUGGACCAAAGCUUCUGCAGCUGGAAGCUCCUCUUCUGACACCAAAGCAUUCUGCACCAAAACCUGGCCCUGGGAUAGAAUUUCAGGCUGCACUUGUAAAGACUGCAUAGACUGCAAGGGCAGUGGUGGAAUCUGAGCUGGAGGAGAUGCCGACAUCUGCGGAGGGGUUGCAAUUGGGAUUGGAGAGGACUGCAGGGUUGAAUACUGCUGGUGUGAUGUUGGAGACACAAUCUGCUGACCUGGGGACACCAAAGCGGACUGCUGAACUGGGCCAAUGUGCACAACAGGGGAAGCUGGAAGUGGAAGAUGGGAUGGAAGAUUCAGCUGUGCUGUAGGCUGCACCUGAUUAGCAGUGGAUUGCUGCAGGUUUGGCCCUGGCUGGAGAGCCGAGGACACAAGAGAGUGUGGCUGAAUAAGGGCCUGUGGAUGGAUAAUUAUAGUAGGAGACUGACUUGGAGAAUGAGGCGGGGGGGGAGACACCACUACAGACUGCUGUGCUGACUGUGACUGGCUAGGAGACAUUGUCAAAGGAGGGGGAUGGCUCUGAAUUGGCGAACAAUGCUGUGACUGGGCAUUACUAGGAGCUGGAGGAAGGCCAUGGUUUUGGAGUGGCAUACAGUGCUGGGAUGGGGGUGGGUCUUGAGUUGGAUUUUGAAGUGUGAUUGGCUGAAUUUGCUGUUGCUGCUGCUGUAAUAUCAGCUGAUGAUGGGAAACCUUGGGAGGUGGUGAAUGAAGAGGAAUCUGCUGAUGUUUUAUUAGAGGAUGAGGCUGAAUUGGAGGAUAUGAAGCUGUGAGAGAAAAAAAUGACAAUUAGUAUUUUUUUCCAAAAAUAGCCUAGAAAUUUAUAAACAAAUAUAAAAGAGGAAAGUUUUCACAUCAGAAGGUCUUAAUCACCAAAAGUCUAUUACAAGUCUUCCCGACAAGAGUGAUUUGAAAAUAUGACAAAAACAACUUUUCCUUGGAAAACUAUUAAGAUUUCAUGAAACAGACAAUAGCUGUGAUAAGCCCCAAAAGAAAAAACAGCCUAAAACAACUGAUUCAUACAUCUGAAAUAUACACGAUUCAUUCUUAUUAAAUUAUUAAAUAUACACAAUUUAUUCUUAUUAAAUUUAUUCUUAUUGAAGUUACCAGAAAAUCUGCAUUAACUUUAAACAAAGUUUAUCUGAAUUCCUUCUCUGGGGAGAAGAGAAGUAUCCCAGAACAAAUAUAAGAUCUAUAAAAAUAACUUCAAAAUCAUAAAAAUGCAGUAUCAAAAUUCAUAAAAUAAAGGUCUCAUAUCUUUCUAGCCUAUGUCUAAAUAGUCUUCCAACUAACAGCCAAUGUAAUUAUUUAUAAAGGUUCCCAAGUAAGUUUCCAAAUUUGAGCCAAGAUGAAAAGUUGGUAUUAUUGGACCCAGGAACAGAAAAUGUUUUGUAUAACAAGUUAAUUUAGCUAAGCAAAACACAUGUGUGAAUUCUACAGCACUGCUGAAUAAUCACUUUAACUAAGAAAUAAAAUUUCCGGGGCCAUUCCAAACCCAGGACAACACUAGUUUGGCAGCAAUAAGUUCAUGCUGUCUAAAUAAAGGAUUUUGUUUCACUUCCCUCCUGCCCCACCCAAAAAAAAAACAAAAACAAAAACAACAAAAAAACCUUACAGUAAUCUAUAAAAGACAGCAUCCGUUUUUUUUUUCCCCCCCACAGAGGAGUCACUCAUAACAGGGACAAUAUAUAUAAGAAUUAGCAAAAUCAAGUAGUAAAUAGUUGUCCAUUAUCAUGCCUCUUCUGCACACUAGUUCGUAUGUUUACACAGAGGGAGGUGCUGGUGAAACCCUCUCUAAAAAUAAAUGGAAAUGGGGUUCACUAGAAGAUAAACUGAAAAGAUUUCUUAAUAUCAUACAAAGGCUGUAUGCAUUUAAAAUAGGUCUAAAGAGAGGGCAAAACUUUCUUAAUCUCAGAAUGUUAAGAUAAAGGCUGUAACAUCUUACAUCUACUAACCACAUUUGUGACAAAGGCCUUAUAAAAAUUAUAACAACUUUUUAACAUUGUUGCAUUUGCUUAGUUAUCAUUUAAAAUUGGGGGGGGGGUCUUUUAAGGAAAUUAACAUCUGAUUAUUAACAUCUCAAAACACAGACACUUAAAAGGUUCAAAAAAUAUCCACCAAUUCUGGGACGCCUGGGUGGCUCAGUUGGUUAAGCCGCUGCCUGCGGCUCAGGUCAUGAUCCCAGUCCUGGGAUCGAGUCCCACAUCGGGCUCCUUGCUCAGCAGGGAGCCUGCUUCUCCCUCUGCCUCUGCUGCCAUUCCGUCUGCCUGUGCUGGCUCUCUCCCUCUCUCUCUCUGACAAAUAAAUAAAAUCUUUAAAAAAUAUAUAUAUAUCCACCAAUUCUAUUUUUUAAAAAAUAGAUUCAUUCUAAACUUUCACCUAAAGUAAUUUUCGCAUAACUAGACUAGCACUUCAAACUAAGACUGAAAAUUUUAUGCCAGCACUUUAUAAAUGUGUUGAUAAGGACUCUACACUAUAGGGCAUUCAAUUAAAAUCUCAGAAUCCUAGAGUGCCUUUUCUUCAAAGGCUCAAGGUGCUUUCACAUUUCUCUCAUUUGUUCUCACAAAAUGCCUGUGGAAUAGGUAAGUAUUAUUUUUCCUCUUUUACAUAAGGGGAAAUAGAGGUUUUGCCAUCGUAACAGCAAACAGCCACUUUAAUUCAAUUUUUAAAGUUAUAACUAAAAUACCACAUUCUUGAUGCACAAUGGGUAACACAUUUAUGGAAUAAAAGUUCCUUCUCGGUUCUAGUUA